CUGGGUAGCGGAUGCUGUAAAUCCCGACCAUUGUGAACAAAACUGCUGCCCUGGCAGGUGGUGAAAAUCGCCUAGCUGGGAGCACAAAACUCUUUUUACUGUUAUCUCUGAGUUACUUUUUAAUAAGUCA
rnacentral:misc_RNA from 1 species